CAACACUGAUGUUUCUAUCCCGUCAUCUUUAAUACCCUUCACGUGUGCUCCAUAUGUGCAUGUCCAUGAUAUGAAGACAUCCUAAGGGCCAUCCUUCUCUAAUAGUUGUUCAUCCCUUCCUGGAGUUCCUGUCUUCAAAGGUGUGACUAUUUGAAACUCCUUGCCCAGGAAGACAGAUGAAAAUGGGGGCCCGUGGAUGGAGAUGACAAGGGAUGUGGUGGGGAAGGGAAAAUAAUUGUUUCUUUUAAUAAAUCAUCAUCAUUAAAAGU